GACAGCAGGUCCCCCAAAACGCCUGAGAAUCUCUCCUCGGGGAAUCCCAGGGCCACCUCCACUGAGCCCCCUGGAUUUGGGGAUGGAAGGGACAGAAAAAUGUGAGGACAUGCUUGAUCCAAGACAAUAACAUGGCCAUCAGAACAAAGGCAGGAAAGAGGAGGGUUGUAUAAAUGGUUAACUGAAUGGUUAUAUCCAUUCACUCAACCAAUAUUUGCCUGAAACCUCCUGGAUACACCGACUAUGGGAAAAACAACUCAGGCUGGCAAAUCUGCAGCAAAAGCUCCUGUGGUUGGCAAGAGGA
rnacentral:lncRNA from 1 species